rnacentral:lncRNA from 1 species
AUAGAGAGCUUAAAAGUGGGAAAACACCAUUGCAAUCACUUGAGAGAUCCCCUCCUGUAGUCCAAAUUUAGAAUUCUGUUUAGGGAGGAGUGUGUAUUUGUAAAGGUUAUCUCCUAAACCUGUGAAAAGGAGAAGAGGGAUAUAAAAGGGUAGUUGGUCUUUGCCCAUUAAAAGAAAACCGAUAGUGGAUACCGGUGGCCUCAACGGAGGAGGAAUCGGGAGUGGAUGUAGGUCACGACGACCAAACCAUUAUAAACUCGGUUUAUAUUUCUGUUUUGCUCUUUACUUUAACUGCAAACUGUUAUACUUCCUCAUUACUUUAGUUGUACACUUUUAUGAACAUGUUUCAAGUUAAUAUCUUUCCGAGAUCGGUUUUAAUUGAACGAAAGUUUUACCACUGUACUAAUUCACCCCCCUCCCCCUCUU